UGCACAACUUAAAUUAAUACAACACAAUCACCCUCACCUGACUUGAGACGACAUAUUUCAUCAUUGUCAAACAGAGCUAUCAGUUAGUGUUGGCAUGGGCUUUGAGAGUAACCGGUCCCACUCAGCCCACUCUGACAUAAAGGUUUUCUUUGACUGGACUUUCUCGUGUCAUCUGCUGAAUGGAACCUUUGAGCUGGACUGUGCAUACACUGCCAAUCACAGGGCAAACGGGUGAAUGUUCUGUGUUAUUGGAUCAGCGCUCAGAAAGGUGUGUAGAAGAAGAACCCCAGCACACCCAACCUUCAUUUGAAAUGCAUCCUGACCUCUGACAGCAUGCCAAAAAUUCAACCACAGACCAAAGUGCUGAUCAUCAAGAGCCUGAAGACCAAGUCUCCUGCUGAGGUGGCAGACAUCUUUAAUGUAUCUAAACAUCAAGUGGAGAGGAUAAG